GGAGAACAUCCCGUAGCAUAUUUGAGCCGGAAAUUGUUACCCCGAGAAGUGAGCUACGCCGCCAUCGAAAAAGAAUGCCUGGCCGUGGUGUGGGCCCUGAAAAAGUUACAACCGUAUCUCUAUGGGCAACCCUUUUCUUUGCUCACAGAUCACAACCCGUUGGUGUGGCUGAACCGUGUGGCUGGAGACAAUGCCAGGCUGCUGCGCUGGAGUUUAGCGCUGCAGCCUUUUGACUUUACUAUCC